GAGCAGACACAUUCCAGCCAAUCAGCAGCAGACCCUCCCUCCCAGACCCUCCCACCUCCUGGACAGCAUCCACUUUGAAGCUGCAUUUUUAGUGAGCUGUCCAGGAGGUGGGAGGGUCUGGGAGGGAGGGUCUGCUGCUGAUUGGCUGAUUGUUCGG
rnacentral:miRNA from 1 species